ACACAGGUGCUGCAUGGCUGUCGUCAGCUCGUGUCGUGAGAUGUUGGGUUAAGUCCCGCACGAGCGCAACCCUCGCUGUGUGUUAUAUGUGUCACACGGGACUGCCGGUCUUAAGCCGGAGGAAGGUGGGGAUGAUGUCAAGUCAGCAUGGCCUUUAUAUCCUGGGCUACACACACGCUACAAUGGCCAACACAAUAGGUUGCUAAGCCGCGAGGUGGCGCCAAUCCAUAAAGUUGGUCUCAGUUCAGAUUGUAGGCUGCAACCCGCCUGCAUGAAGAUGGAGUUGCUAGUAACCGCAGGUCAGCUAUACUGCGGUGAAUACGUUCCCGGGGCUU
rnacentral:rRNA from 1 species